rnacentral:rRNA from 1 species
ACAGAGGAAGGUUGCGGCAAUAACAGGUCUGUGAUGCCCUCAGAUGUCCCGGGCUGCACACGUGCUACAAUGAGUGGCGCAAUGUGCUAAUGUUUUAAGGGAUAAGCGUGCGGCCAGUAGAACGUCGGCAAUUGCCCUGGCGUCUUCUACCGCACGAUUAUCAGCCUUCCCUUAACAGGGCGGGCAACCUUUUCAAAAUACCGGUUUGAUGUUAAAGUAUAGAGUCGUUUUUUUUGGAUGGUGGUUUACGAACCAAUACCAUCCGCAACUGCUCGCGAGUUUGUGGUUCUGGUGACUCAUGGUGGGGACCGAUGUUUGUAAUUGUU